GACGAACGCUGGCGGCGUGCUUAACACAUGCAAGUCGAACGAUGAAGCCGGAGCUUGCUCUGGUGAAUUAGUGGCGAACGGGUGAGUAACACGUGAGUAACCUGCCCUUGACUCUGGGAUAACUGCGGGAAACUGUAGCUAAUACCGGAUACGACCCUCGGAGGCAUCUCCUGGGGGUGGAAAGAAUUUCGGUCAAGGAUGGACUCGCGGCCUAUCAGCUAGUUGGUGAGGUAAAGGCUCACCAAGGCGACGACGGGUAGCCGGCCUGAGAGGGUGACCGGCCAUACUGGGACUGAGACACGGCCCAGACUCCUACGGGAGGCAGCAGUGGAGAAUAUUGCCCAAUGGGCGCAAGCCUGAUGCAGCAACGCCGCGUGCGGGAUGACGGCCUUCGGGUUGUAAACCUCUUUUAGCAGGGAAGAAGCGAAAGUGACGGUACCUGCAGAAAAAGCACCGGCUAACUACGUGCCAGCAGCCGCCGUAA
rnacentral:rRNA from 1 species